UGGGAACGUGCCCAAAGGUACGGAACAACUCCGGGAAACUUGAGCUAAUACCGGAUAAGCCCUUCGGGGGAAAGAUUUAUCGCCAUUAGAGCGGCCCGCGUCUGAUUAGCUAGUUGGUGAGGUAAAGGCUCACCAAGGCUUCGAUCAGUAGCUGGUCUGAGAGGAUGAUCAGCCACACUGGGACUGAGACACGGCCCAGACUCCUACGGGAGGCAG
rnacentral:rRNA from 1 species